UACGUAGGUCCCGAGCGUUGUCCGGAUUUAUUGGGCGUAAAGCGAGCGCAGGUGGUUUAUUCAGUCUGGUGUAAAGGCAGUGGCUCAACCAUUGUAUGCAUUGGAAACUGGUAGACUUGAGUGCAGGAGAGGAGAGUGGAAUUCCAUGUGUAGCGGUGAAAUGCGUAGAUAUAUGGAGGAACACCGGUGGCGAAAGCGGCUCUCUGGCCUGUAACUGACACUGAGGCUCGAAAGCGUGGGGAGCAAAUAGG
rnacentral:rRNA from 1 species